GGUGUGUUUAAAUCCUAAACAUUAAGCCUUCUUUUAUAGGGGUAAAAUCCCCCCAACUUUUGUUUUCCCACCGAUGUGGGACAAACAUUUUGUCAAAUUCAACACUACUUACAUAUCUCAAGGUGGGAAGCCUCAGAGGAAUCUUUUCCCCAGCUUGAAACACUUGUUAUAAAAGUGUGCGAGUAUCUCAAGGAGAUCCCCGUUAGCUUUGCGGAUAUUCCAAAUCUGAAACAGAUUAAGUUGAUGCAAACAAUAUGUUCAAUACAGGAUCGUCUUGGAAAUAUCCGGAAGCUGUGAGUCAAGCACGUGCUUGUCACAAUAACAUGGAAACUGAAGCAAAAGCACAGACAGAGUGGACGGAUGGAGUUCUUUCAUAGCAAAUUGUUGUAGUCAUGCUCUCAUGCUGGGGUGUAUAAUGCAGCAAGCGGAAUCUCCUUAUACUGUAACAUUACUACUGAUUAUUGCUUGUCUGUUUUGAUUGAUCGAUUAAGACGCAUACCCUCUUUUAUCUGUAUGUUUCUAAUGAGCCUAAGACUGAGCCUACCAAGGUGAAUUGCAAGAUGAUACAAGCUGAUUUGAAAGGUUUUUAUAGGCGCAAGGCCUUUGAUUUAGGCCCUAAUAUCCUGAUACCAAAUGAUUAUUUAGAAGAAAUCUGUCUUUGAUUUAAUUAUCUUGUGAUUGUUCUUCAUA